UUUACCUUUCUAAAAAGGAACGUUACCUUAGUUGCGGCUAGGUUUCUUCCCCGUUCUUUCAGUCUGGCGCCGAGAACAAUGAAUUACAUUAUUUUCUUUGAUCGCUCUCUUCCCAUUAAGUUGAUUGCUGCUCAUCGUCAAAGAAUGGAGUCUGGUUCCGGAAGCAAUUCCCAACUUCGUAAGGAAAUAUUUGUUUCUCAAUGAAGGAAAAUGGUGUUCGUCAGUAAAAUUGUGCUGCCUCUUUGAGGGUAUAUGCUUCUACUCUAGGAGAACCUUCCAGUGCUUAAGUGAUUGAGAGGCACUCAGGAGAAGAUACCUUGGUUUGUUUUAUUGAUAGAAAAUUGUGACAACAUUGAUAUUAGUUAUUAAAAAAUGUCUAUCUAGUUUUUUCCCUUGAAGGUGGAUUGUUAAAUGAGUAUAGUGAUCCAGUUCUUGCUGCUCGCUUGUAAAUAAUCACAUUUGCGUUAUUUAGGCAUAUGUUAGAUUGAUGUGUAUGAGUGACUAUUGUUUGUUUUAUAAUUCAAAAUCUAGCAAGUCGAGGGUGCUUGGGGGAAGAUCAUAUGGUAGCAAUUCAUAAGUGAUAACACACUUUGUGAGCUACAUUUCAUGAGAUUUAUAUUGAAAUUAUUUGUUAGUUUUCGUUUCUUCAAGACAAAUUUAAGCACAUAAGAUAUAUUUUGCAGGAAUAAAGCAUCGGGAGGAAACGAGACAUAUUUGGAUCCAAAUGAGAGAAAAAUAGGAAUCAAAGUGACCAAGAUGGAAUAACAACAAGAUUUGGAGCUAAAAACCCGAGGAGAUAGCGCCACGGCGCUAGCCUAGAGCGUCGCGGCGCUCCGAAGUUUAAAUUUCGCGUUUGUGAAUAGUGUAGUGCCAUGACCCUGUAUAUAGCGCCACAGCGCUGCCGCGACAACUUUUUAUAAAAAUAGGGUUGUGCAGCCGCCGAAAGGGGGGGAGUUUUGAAGAGGUUUUAUGGCAGUUUCCCUUUUUGGCCAAAUUGGAGGGCAAAGAGACCAUUGGAGAGCUUAGAAAAGUGAUUUUCAAGGCUCGGGAUCGUGGAGGUCGCUUUGGGACGGACGAUUGACACGCCGAACAUAGUUUCUUCUCCUUUCCCUUGAUUUUUCUGGUUUUGUUAUGGACUUCUCAUUGUGAUUUUAUUGUUUUCCAUUGAAUAUGACAAGCUAAACCUCUCAUCUUGGGGAUUGAUGUAGCCAUUGAACUUUAUGCAUUGAUUGUUUAGUUUU